AAACCAUCACAUAAACAAAUGAUAAGUACUAAAAUAAGAACACUCUUGGAUGUAAGCUAGAAUAUUUAAUAAACUAGACCAGUCCACUACAGAAGAGAACUCGCUUGAAAAAGGAGACACUGGUUCUGCAGAUGUAGGCACCAAACAAGCAAAUUUCAUGAUGGAAUAUGGCUGACAUCCAAAAUGUCCCUGGCAUGAAUAAUAGCUCAAGUGUUCAUGGAUCUGGUCCCCAAGAGCUGCUGUCACUGUGUCAAAGACUGGUCAUAUAAGGAAUGGAGGAACAGUGUUGAACUGGAGAGUUACAUUAUGUUCUAAGAAACUUAAACCCACCGUUGGGUGGUUAAAGACUCUGAGCAGUGCUUUUCAGUUUGGUGGCUUCUAUGUCCGUGCAUACUCACCCUUUUGUAUAAAAUGAAGCCUCGGCAUGCUACCUACUGGACCAAAUAGAAACAAUUUUGAGUCGCCGUGCUGUGUCAGGCCUGGAAGAACAGUCCGACCACCUCCAGAUACAGUCACUACCUUCCACUGGCGUGUGAUGUCACUGUGGGUUUAGUGAUCCCUGGCCCUCAGGCACUAUCAACGUGAAAUAGCAAGAAAAAGAAAAUAGCAGUAUGCAUUCAGGAAGAAGAAUAGUGCUACAGACCAAAAUCAGCAUUACAGACCCUCCUACAUGGAAUGGGCACAGGCGUAUUCCUGACUGAUACGAGGCCACCUCAUGGCAACAUGAACAAACUGAUGGAUUUUCCUCAAAUUUCCAGUUGAAAAACUUUUUUUAAAAAUCUGCCAU